AAUAGAUACCCCGGUAGUCCACGCCGUAAACGAUGGAUGCUAGCUAUUGGGGGGAAUCGACCCCCUCCGAAGCGAAGCUAACGCGUUAAGCAUCCCGCCUGAGUAGUACGAGCGCAAGCUUAAAACUCAAAGGAAUUGACGGGGACCCGCACAAGCGGUGGAGCGUGUGGUUUAAUUCGAUGGUAAACGAAGAACCUUACCAAGGUUUGACAUCCCGGUAGCCGUUCUCCGAAAGGAGAAUUUCAUUUAGUUGGACCGGUGACAGGUGAUGCAUGGCCGUCGUCAGCUCGUGUCGUGAGAUGUUGGGUUAAGUCCCGCAACGAGCGCAACCCUUAUGAUUUAGUUGGAUUUUUCUAAACAGACUGCCCUGGUAACAGGGAGGAAGGAGGGGAUGAUGUCAGGUCAGUAUUUCCCUUACACCUUGGGCGACACACGCGCUACAAUGGCCGGUACAAUGGGCAGCUAAGCCGCGAGGUGGAGCAAAUCCCAUCAAAGCCGGUCCCAGUUCGGAUUGCAGGCUGAACCCGCCUGCAUGAAGCCGGAAUCGCUAGUAACC
rnacentral:rRNA from 1 species